rnacentral:rRNA from 1 species
GACGAACGCUGGCGGCGUGCUUAACACAUGCAAGUCGAACGGAAAGGCCCUGCUUGCAGGGUACUCGAGUGGCGAACGGGUGAGUAACACGUGGGUGAUCUGCCCUGCACUUCGGGAUAAGCUUGGGAAACUGGGUCUAAUACCGGAUAGGAGCCAUCUUUAGUGUGGUGGUUGGAAAGUUUUUUCGGUGUAGGAUGAGCUCGCGGCCUAUCAGCUUGUUGGUGGGGUAAUGGCCUACCAAGGCGGCGACGGGUAGCCGGCCUGAGAGGGUGUACGGCCACAUUGGGACUGAGAUACGGCCCAGACUCCGACGGGAGGCAGAAGGGGGGAAUAUUGCACAAUGGGCGCAAGCCUGAUGCAGCGACGCCGCGUGGGGGAUGAAGGCCUUCGGGUUGUAAACUCCUUUCGCUAGGGACGAAGCUUUUUUGUGACGGUACCUAGAUAAGAAGCACCGGCUAACUACGUG